rnacentral:rRNA from 1 species
AGCGAACGCUGGCGGCAGGCUUAACACAUGCAAGUCGAACGGGCGUAGCAAUACGUCAGUGGCAGACGGGUGAGUAACACGUGGGAACGUACCUCUUGGUUCGGAACAACACAGGGAAACUUGUGCUAAUACCGGAUAAGCCCUUACGGGGAAAGAUUUAUCGCCGAGAGAUCGGCCCGCGUCUGAUUAGCUAGUUGGUAGGGUAAUGGCCUACCAAGGCGACGAUCAGUAGCUGGUCUGAGAGGAUGAUCAGCCACAUUGGGACUGAGACACGGCCCAAACUCCUACGGGAGGCAGCAGUGGGGAAUAUUGGACAAUGGGGGCAACCCUGAUCCAGCCAUGCCGCGUGAGUGAUGAAGGCCCUAGGGUUGUAAAGCUCUUUUGUGCGGGAAGAUAAUGACGGUACCGCAAGAUAAGCCCGGCUAACUUCGUGCCAGCCGCCGCAGU